GAUGAACGCUAGCGGCAGGCCUAACACAUGCAAGUCGAGGGAGAAGCCCUUCGGGGCAGAAACCGGCGCACGGGUGCGUAACGCGUAUGCAACCUACCUUUCACAGGGGGAUAGCCCGAAGAAAUUUGGAUUAAUACCCCAUAAUAUUAUUGGAUGGCAUCAUUUGAUAAUUAAAAUUACGAUGGUGAAAGAUGGGCAUGCGUCCUAUUAGCUAGUUGGAGUGGUAACGGCACCCCAAGGCUACGAUAGGUAGGGGUCCUGAGAGGGAGAUCCCCCACACUGGUACUGAGACAGGGACCAGACUCCUACGGGAGGCAGCAGUGAGGAAUAUUGGUCAAUGGUCGGAAGACUGAACCAGCCAUGCCGCGUGCAGGAAGAAUGCCUUAUGGG
rnacentral:rRNA from 1 species